AAGUCUGACGGAGCAACGCCGCGUGAGNGAUGAAGGUUUUCGGAUCGUAAAGCUCUGUUGCCAGGGAAGACGUCUUCUAGAGUAACCGCUAAGAGAGNGAAAAUACCUGAGAAGAAAGCCCCGGCUAACUACGUGCCAGCAGCCGCGGNAAUACGUAGGGGGCAAGCGUUGUCCGGAAUUAUUGGGCGUAAAGCGCGCGCAGGCGGGUCUUUAAGUUGGUGUUUAACCCGAGGCUCAACUUUGGGUCGCAUUGUAAACUGGGGGACUUGAGUGCAGAAGAGGAGAGGGGAAUUCCACGUGUAGCCGGUGAAAUGCGUACAUAUGUGGAGGAACACCAGUGGCGAAGGCGACUCUCUGGGCUGUAACUGACGCUGAGGCGCGAAAGCGUGGGGAGCAAACAGGAUUAGAUACCCUGGUAGUCCACGCCGCAAACGAUGAAUGCUAGGUGUUAGGGGUUUCGAUACCCUUGGUGCCGAAGUUAACACAUUAAGCAUUCCGCCUGGGGA
rnacentral:rRNA from 1 species